UGGAAAGUCCGACGGUACAGGGUGAUAGUCCCGUACACCAAAAUGCACAGGUUGUGAACUCGAAGAGUAGGGCGGGACACGUGGUAUCCUGUCUGAAUAUGGGGGGACCAUCCUCCAAGGCUAAAUACUCCUGACUGACCGAUAGUGAACCAGUACCGUGAGGGAAAGGCGAAAAGAACCCCGGCGAGGGGAGUGAAAAAGAACCUGAAACCGUGUACGUACAAGCAGUGGGAGCCUCUUUAUGGGGUGACUGCGUACCUUUUGUAUAAUGGGUCAGCGACUUAUAUUCUGUAGCAAGGUUAACCGUAUAGGGGAGCCGAAGGGAAACCGAGUCUUAACUGGGCGUUAAGUUGCAGGGUAUAGACCCGAAACCCGGUGAUCUAGCCAUGGGCAGGUUGAAGGUUGGGUAACACUAACUGGAGGACCGAACCGACUAAUGUUGAAAAAUUAGCGGAUGACUUGUGGCUGGGGGUGAAAGGCCAAUCAAACCGGGAGAUAGCUGGUUCUCCCCGAAAGCU
rnacentral:rRNA from 1 species